GAGGGUGUAGCUCAGUGGUAGAGUGUGUGCUUAGCAUGCACGAGGUCCUGGGUUCUAUCCCCAGUACCUCCA
rnacentral:tRNA from 1 species